UAGGGAAUCUUCCGCAAUGGACGAAAGUCUGACGGAGCAACGCCGCGUGAGUGAAGAAGGUUUUCGGAUCGUAAACUCUGUUGUCAGAGAAGAACAAGUCGGAGAGUAACUGCUCCAGCCUUGACGGUAUCUGACCAGAAAGCCACGGCUAACUACGUGC
rnacentral:rRNA from 1 species